UUCGGGGGCAACGGUGACAGGUGGUGCAUGGUUGUCGUCAGCUCGUGUCGUGAGAUGUUGGGUUAAGUCCCGCAACGAGCGCAACCCUUGAUCUUAGUUGCCAUCAUUUAGUUGGGCACUCUAAGGUGACUGCCGGUGACAAACCGGAGGAAGGUGGGGAUGACGUCAAAUCAUCAUGCCCCUUAUGACCUGGGCUACACACGUGCUACAAUGGACGAUACAAACGGUUGCCAACUCGCGAGAGGGAGCUAAUCCGAUAAAGUCGUUCUCAGUUCGGAUUGUAGGCUGCAACUCGCCUACAUGAAGCCGGAAUCGCUAGUAAUCGCGGAUCAGCAUGCCGCGGUGAAUACGUUCCCGGGUCUUGUACACACCG
rnacentral:rRNA from 3 species